rnacentral:snoRNA from 12 species
GCGAGGUGACGAUAUCACUUCAAUGGUAUGUCAAUUCACUGAUACUAUCGUGAUGUAUUCAUGAAUCCCGACAGGUUCUGAUCGC